UCAUCUCUCUCACAUAUUCUCUCAAAGACGCGCCUGUAAACCCUAGGAGCCGCCUCCAUGUCCAACCGCCUAAGGUGGCGGCGCCGCUUCCAUUCACCACAAGAAUUACACCCCCGAACCCCCAAGCCCACCUCAUUCCACAUCCCUAUUCCGUUUGCCUCAAAUCGUGUCUGAAUCUUUCGAAUAAUAGAUUAAAGGUGAACUUCAAAAUCCAAAUUUUCUUGUUCAAGUUUUCUGCGAAGAUUUUUGGAUCAUUCAGACUUUAUUCGUGUGUUCUGGUAAAGAGCUCACGAUUAAUCUCGGAUUGAGCCAUGAAUGGAAGAUUUGACGACAUGAAAGUUAUGGUUCGAAUGCUCACUGUCUAUGACCACUUUAGGUAUUUUCUUUCACUUUAGGUUGUUAAUUUUUAUCUUUUCUUACUUCCCAUCUUUGUCUGUCUAGCCCUUUACAGAUUUUCCCGUUUUGUUUUGUUUUCUAUGCCUGCUUGGUUGGUUCCAGACUUUUGUAGUUAGUAAUGGCUUCGGAGGUUUAGUUUGAAAACAUUUUCAUUUUUUAGGACCCAAAUUCCACGAGUCUUUAAGACUCUGUGGAUUGGCUUGUGAAUCUUGGGCUUUCAAUGUCAAAAGAGGGUUCUGAAAAUUAAAAUGCCCAAAAGGGAAUCAAUUUGGGUUUAUUCAGACCUACCUGCUUGGGUCAAUUGGACUCAGGCUUUGCCUGGUGUACAUGGGUAAAAAUAGAGGGUUUGAGGGGUAAUAUAGGAAUUUUAGGGUAGGGAAUCUUGUUAUAAAAGAAAUGAAAGCUUCUUAGAAGCUGGGGUGAGGGGCUGUUGGGAUAAUUUGAUAAUUACAUUAAGGGUUGUUCAGCAAAAAGGAAAAUUAGCUAGGGAUUCCUAAGCUAAAAUAAAAAUUCAAAAAUAACUAAAAUGCAAACCUGAUCCUUCUAUUGCUGCCAUAUUUCCUUGCCUAUAAAGGCACUUUUCCUUGCCUUUCAAAGCAAGAAUUAGAGAGCUGAAAAUAUAGAAAAAUACAGACGACUAAAAAUCGUUGUUUCAUUGGAUCUUUCCAUUUCAGUUAUUUUUCUUUCUUCUUUUCAAGUUUUGAAAUAAUCUAGACUCAUCUGAGUACAAAAAUGGGUUGAAUUUGGUCUUCAAAUUGGUGUAAAGUCUGUUGGUUUACUGUCUGAUUGGAACUAUUUUGCCCCACAUCAUUCUGGGUUGAAGUUGAUUCCACUAGUUGUUUUGCUGCUUAACUAUUGCUGACCUUACCUUUCUCUUACUGAAAUUUUGUAGCUCUUUUUUCGUUAUAUAAGGUAUCUACUUUGAUCCUUAAUAUUGUGAAGUAAACCUGUAGAUUGAAAUGAAAAACUGAAUUUGAAGCAUGGCAUUCUUAUGCUCUAUUGAUUUAAUAGUACUGCUUGAUUUUACAUUUGAAAUCUAUUUGAUGUAUCAAUAGAUUGAAUUUUAGUUCAAGUAAAUGAGUGCUAUUAGUAUGUUUGGCAUAGGGAUGCUAUGAAACUUGGGCCACACUUUGGCCAUUUGAGUUAGUAGUUGGACUUGGUAUUGUAUAAUUGGAUUUUAGCAUGAUCAUGAACUAUUGUGGAAGCCUGACUAAUAACAUAUUUAGUCAUAGUUGAUUAUAUUGUGCUCUCAUUAUUCUCAGUUUUAAUUGAAAUUCCUGUAUGCAUUUAAGUUUAGUCAUUAAAUCUCUUUGCAUGGAAGUUUAUUGAGGUUAUUGUUGUCAGCUUAUUUCAAAUGCUUAAGUCAAAAUUCCGUUUAAGUAUAAAAAGCCAUAGAAUGAGUUAGAAUGGAUGUUUUCAUGUCAGUUCCAUCUUUGAUUCUGGUAUUUAUUGCUUAAGGAGUGAGUUUAGUUUGGUUUUGUUAUAAUCCAAAUAACUAGCAUGUUGUGUUUGUGGAUUGAAUGGGGUCAAGAUUGAAAGGUCCUUGUCUGAUCUCUAAGAGGAAUGGGCAAGUCUAUUUUAAAAGUAGGCAUUUGAUAAUCUGCAAUCAAACAGCCUCACCUAAUAAUGCUUAAAGUGGCUUUGUGUGCUAAUCACGGAUUGUUAGUGAAACCUGUUGGCUUGUGACUAAAUGUGAAUGAAUCACUUUCUUUGGCGUAGACUCGAUAUUUGGUAUGUGAUCCUUAACCCUGGUCCAUCAUGGUUUGGGCUUAUUGUGUACAGGGCCUUAGGAGGGUCUGCCUUUAAAAGAAGUUGACAUUUUUUUGGGCUUGUUCUUUGAUCCCAGUAGCUCACUCGUCAAUUGUAGGUCUGUUUCCACAGCCAAGGCUGCCCAAGCAUGUGUGUAAUGUGGAGUCAUGGAAGCCUGAUAAUUAAUUAGUUUGCAAAAUCAGGGCUUUAAUUUGAUAAGUCAAGCCCAUUCUAUGGUAGAAUCAGUAAAGGCACAGUGGAUUUAGGAUUAACUUUAGAACUUUGGAAUUGGUCUCACAUUGCUUACUUUAAAUAAUUUAACGUUUGCAAG
rnacentral:lncRNA from 1 species